AUAUUUUUGAAACUGCAUUAUAGUGAUGGAUAUUUGUCAGUCUUGAAAAUAUUUCUUAGAGUGCACAUUUAUAGUGUCCAGAAAUACUUUUUCGGCUACUGUAGUUUAGUGUGUCAUGAUGUGAAAGUGUAUGUGUGUGUGCAUUAUAAUGCAUUAAGAAUAUCUUUAUAAUUCCUUGAACAUAGAAGCUUCAUUUAAAGUGUUACCAAGAUUUCCUUGAAUUUGACACUUUUUAAGUGAGAAUUUUCUCAAGAGCACUAAACUGAGCGAAGGGACUGGAGUGUGAUCAUUAUCCAAAUCACAAAAGUCUGCUAGAUGAGUGAAACAUUAACUUCAACUGUUCUCUGUGACACUUCCUCCCUGGAGGUCAGUCCUCAGUGAUCAGUCCUCAUGUUUGCUCAUUAAAUCUAUUACAUAGUUGGCUGAAAUCGAUGUUUCCCUCUCUCU
ensembl:lncRNA